GUAAUUCUUCAAACACGUACUCUUUUUCCAUUCUAAUCUUCUACAAUCUCUAGAUCAAUUGUAACCUUACUGCACCAUCUCCAAAUAUCUUAUUUUCCUUCAUCUCCUCUUGUUCUUAACCAUGGCACUUUGGAGAGAGUUUAUAGCUACCUCCUAUCUCAGGUAACCGUAAAUUUUAUGGAUCUUUUUGUUGUUUUGAUUAUGAUUUCCUAAUUUUACUUCGGCUAUUUCAUCUAUCGAUUUUUUUUGUGUCCGACUUUUUUUGUUGGUUCCUUCAAAUUUUCCGUUUCCACUCUUCUCUUUGUGCUUUACUGUUUUUAUAAUUUCUAAACUUCAGGGUCCAUAUAUAUUGUUAUAUGGCUUUUCUCUGUUCUUCACUCUUUUAAAGUGUAUAAUUUUCUAUGAACUCCUCCUAUUGCACUACCAAGCAAUCAAAAAUUAAUAAUUGCACUUGGAUUUUCCCUCCUAGAGUUUAUGAAAAUUAGGGGUUUAAGAGUGAAAUUGUUCAAAAUUAUAGAAGUGGACAUGGAUUAUAUAAGUCAGGGACUUGGAUGUUCAAUUGGAGUAACAUGAUCCGUGAGAUCCAUGUAGCCUACCCUAAUUUGUUGGGAUUGCUUUGAUAGGCUCUCACUUUGACAAUUUUCAAGGAUUCCUUUUAUUGGAUCAUUUGAUAUAACAAAAUUUAAUGUUUGAAUUUAUUAAUUCUUUAUUCUCCAGUUCUAUAUACAUUUGCAUGUUAACAUGGUUAUGUUAUUCCAUUUAAUAGGAUAUCAAUUUUCGCUGAAUUCGAAUUUUCCUCUUUUUCUCUUUGUUGACAAUAGUAAGAUCACAAUGUGUUUGAAAAAUAAGUGUUGUGUCUCCACUUCUUAAUUUCUACGAUCUUUUCCUACGUUCCAAGUAUAACACAACUGUGACCCUGAAUGAGCUUUACAUAGGCCUCCUUAUAGGUGAAUUGACACUCAGAAAGUUGAAAUGCAUGUAUCUUUAUGUAAAAACCAAAUAUUAAGAGAAUUUCAUAACAAUAUGAUAAAAACCUACACUUUUGUUUACCUUCUCAAAUACUUACAAGGUUUCCGUAAGUGAACAAGCUUGAGGAUGGGCUAAAAUAAACAUCAUUUGAUAUAGUUGAACUCUAUUUUGAAAAUUUUCAUAGCAUGUGGCUUUUCCCUCUCGAUUCGUAUUCCCUUUAUGUGGUAUUCAUGUGUGAUUGUAUGAGACAUAAAUAAUAUUCAAUGAUGAAGUUUUCACAUGUUAUAUGAUUAUGCAUAUGAAAUAGGCUUUGAUGAAAGGAGAGAAAUAAACUAUAACAUGCUUUUAUAUGGCAAGAGACACUUAAGUUUGCAGACACAAUGGGAGUAAUAGAGUGAAAGGUUUGGGUUUUCACAUCUAAAGGCUAUGGAUCUUAGCCAAUCUUCAUAGUGGGUUUAUUCAGCUAUGGGAUCACCUUAUCGGAACUCUCAUUGAUCGAUUUGAUGAGCACGAUGGCCCUGUUUGUGGUGUCCAUUUUCACAAAUCUCAGCCUCUAUUUGUUUCUGGAGGGCAACAACAUCUGUAAGAUUAAUUCAAAAGGGUCUAUUUCAUUGCUAUUGACACUUUUCUUUCUUUCAUCUUCCUAAUUCCUCUGGUAAGCUUCAUGCCAGUCUGACUAAGGUAAGGGGGAAGACCUCAUUUCGUCAUUCAUAUCUAUUCUUCUUAGCCCUGCUUUGGCGAUUCAAUCCGACAUUUCAUUUCACCCUUCAUCAUUUGAUUCUUCUCAUCUAAGAGCUGAUCUUGCAAAAGGAGCACAGUGCGACAACAAGCGAAAAUCAGCAAACAGAUUGCCAGUCUCAGGUGUUCUUCAAGAUUCUCAUCUACAACUUCAGUUGUAUGAAAACAGAGACACUAUCUCUUACCUAUUUGCAAAUCAGUUUUUUGGAAUGUUACAUAUCCCUACUCCAUAUAUACUGAUCUCCACAGAGAAGUACCUUGCUAGAGUACCAACAACGAAUUUCAGCCUUCUAAUGGAGCUGUUACAAUCUGUCCCUACAGACUCAGGCAGGAAGAACUCAAUUUUCUGGUUGGUAAGCAAGAAUGAGAGUUCUCUGUUAAAAGUUAUAUUAACUUACUAAAACAAACUAGCUGCUGGGAUUUGAGCUGCCCUUGGGAAAUGAUCUGGAGGAUCAAUGUACCUCCUAAAGUUGCUUGCUUGGUUGGAUAGCAGGUAAGAAUGUCUAUUUGAUUCAUGAUAGACUCCAAAAGAGAGGUUAGUCUCUAUAUUUGGGUGGUGCUUUUGGGAGAGUUUCAUUGAAGUUAUUAGUCUUCCGCCCGCUUCUUCAUUGCAAGCCAAAUUUGCAUAUAUAGUCACUGUUUCUGAACCUAUUUGGAAUUAGUUGGGUCAUGCCAAUGGAGGUUAAAAAUAUUCUCAGUUGCUCGCUUGGACAGAGUAUCUGCAGGACUUUGAAGACAUCUUGGAAAACUAUCCCAUGAUGCAUUUUAUGUACUGUUUGGCUUGAAAGGAACAGAAGAUGUUGCCAACAUUUUUUUCCUCCAUUGUCAUUUUCUUUGGGUUAAAAUUGGUGUUAUUUUCUCCUUCAAUUGUGUAUACAAGCAAGUUUAUGUUGGGCCCGUGCUAAGCACGGGCCUUUGCCCUUCUA